rnacentral:rRNA from 1 species
UACGGAGGGAGCUAGCGUUGUUCGGAAUUACUGGGCGUAAAGCGCACGUAGGCGGCUUUGUAAGUUAGAGGUGAAAGCCUGGAGCUCAACUCCAGAAUUGCCUUUAAGACUGCAUCGCUUGAAUCCAGGAGAGGUGAGUGGAAUUCCGAGUGUAGAGGUGAAAUUCGUAGAUAUUCGGAAGAACACCAGUGGCGAAGGCGAGUCUCUGGACAGCAACUGACGCUGAUGCGCGAAAGCCAGGGGAGCGAACGGG